rnacentral:lncRNA from 1 species
AUAUUGAACUCGAGUUGGAAGAGGCGAGUCCGGUCUCAAAAUGGAGUAAAUAGAGGCCAGGUGCAAUCCCUUACACCUGUAAUCUCAGCAUUUUGGGAGGCUGAGGCAGGAGGAUCGCCUAAGCCUGGGAGAUGAGGCUACAGUGAGCUGUGACAGCCCCACUGCACUCCAGCGUGGACAACAGAGAGAGACGCUGUCUCAAAACAAUCUUGAAGACCAGACAGAAAACCAGGCUAUGAAUCAAAGAAAAAAAUCAAAAUCACACUUCAUAACUGCUUCAGUAACCCUUGGCAACAGACAACACACUGGAUUUUGGCUAAUAACACUAAAAUUUUUGCUGGUGAGGUCUUCAGAAACCGGAUAGAUGUGAAACCACCAGAACAGAAGUGGAGUGGGCACGAUAUCUGUUUCUUCAAUUUGUAGUUUCAUAGUCAAAAACUGGCAUGUAUAUACUUAAUCGGUGACAUGUAAGUCACAUGCCUUUAUCCCAAAUCUAAGAGAAGUUGAGAACUUAAUUUCUGGCUUCUACCUUGGGAAGGGUCAGACUCAUAAGCUGGAAAAUUAGCCAACAUACACAGGAUAUUCAAAGCUUCCAGGCAGACAAAAUACUGUCAAGUGGUAAAACAGAUAUGAAAAAACCUUUUUUUCUCUCCUAAAUUUAAAAAAAUGUAAUUUUCCUAAAACAUUGUAUGUGGCUUUCCAUAAAAUUAAAAGAGUCUUGGGAGAGAGAACAUCUCAUAUGCUUCCUAGUGAAUUACUUCCACAAUAAAGCAAUUAAUGAAAAUGAAAA